rnacentral:rRNA from 1 species
AACGCUAGCUACAGGCUUAACACAUGCAAGUCGAGGGGUCUGCUUCGGCAGACGACCGGCGCACGGGUGAGUAACGCGUAUCCAACCUGCCCUUCAUAUUGGGAUAGCCUCUCGAAAGGGAGAUUAAUACCGAAUAACAUGAAAAGAUUGCCUGAUUUUUUCAUGAAAGCUCCGGCGAUGAAGGAUGGGGAUGCGUUCCAUUAGGUAGUAGGCGGGGUAACGGCCCACCUAGCCGACGAUGGAUAGGGGUUCUGAGAGGAAGGUCCCCCACACUGGAACUGAGACACGGUCCAGACUCCUACGGGAGGCAGCAGUGAGGAAUAUUGGUCAAUGGGCGAUGGCCUGAACCAGCCAAGUAGCGUGAAGGAUGACUGCCCUAUGGGUUGUAAACUUCUUUUAUAAAGGAAUAAAGUCGGGUAUGCAUACCCGUUUGCAUGUACUUUAUGAAUAAGGAUCGGCUAACUCCGUGCCAGCAGCCGCGGUAAUACGGAGGAUCCGAGCGUUAUCCGGAUUUAUUGGGUUUAAAGGGAGCGUAGAUGGAUGUUUAAGUCAGUUGUGAAAGUUUGCGGCUCAACCGUAAAAUUGCAGUUGAUACUGGAUGUCUUGAGUGCAGUUGAGGCAGGCGGAAUUCGUGGUGUAGCGGUGAAAUGCUUAGAUAUCACGAAGAACUCCGAUUG